AGCGGGGAUGGGGCCGCGGCGGCGGGAGGGGUCGGGGGGUGGCCGGGGGCUGGGCUCUGCCGCCGGGUUGGGGGGGCUGAGGCGGCGCUGCUGCGGCCCGGCCCGUGCCGCUAUGGCCGCUGCCGCUGCGGGAGGGGGUCUCUGAGCGCAGUUUUCUCCUGUGGAGGCGGAGGAGGCGGCCCGCGGGCGGCGAGGAGAUGGAGGAGAGGAAGAUCAAAAGGCGGAGCCCCAAGGCGGCCACCGCCCACCCCGCGCCGGCCGCCGGCUCCAAGAAGAGCGCCGUGCCCGCCAGCAAGAGCACGGCCUUCGGCAACCCCGCCCCGCAGCCCGCCGCGCAGAAACCCAAGCUCAAGAGAGUAAUAAAAGAGAAAGCCAAACCUCCAGGAGGCGAAGCAAAAGGGGCACAGGCAGCACCGAUCCAGCACUCGUUUCUCACAGAUGUAUCAGAUGUCCAGGAAAUGGAAAGGGGACUUCUCAGCCUCCUGAAUGACUUCCACUCUGGCAAACUUCAAGCGUUUGGUAGAUGUGUGAAUUAUCUGAAACGAGUGUUCCAUAGAGCAAAUGGAGCACGUGCGGAGUAUGCAGGAGAAACUUGCUCGCCUCAAUCUGGAGCUCUAUGGGGAGCUGGAAGAACUUCCCGAAGAUAAAAGAAAACUAGCCAGUGAUUCCAAUCUGGAUAGGCUGCUAUCAGAUUUGGAAGAACUGAAUUCAUCUAUCCAAAAACUACAUCUUGCAGAUGCUCAAGAUAUUCCAAAUAGUGCCACAGGCUGAAAGAACAGCUUUUUCAAGUUGGAUUCUUGAAGUUUGUUUUUUUUUCUUUUUGUUCCUGCCACUGGAAUCUAGAGUUGUUGGUGGUGUUUUAAUCAUCUUACACAAUGAAGAAUCAAAGUACAAAUCUAAGUGUUUACUCUUGUGCAUUCCUCUUUGAGUACUGCAUUUGGUCAGGACUCAGUUUCUAGGGACUGAAGUAGGUUGUGAUGGUGGUAUGAUUUAUAUUAUUGCCUUAUUUAAUGGGAAAAAUGGGAAAGUAAAUUUAUUCUGCUUGGUGUUGUUCAUAUUGUUGAAAAUGAUAUGUAUAUAAGUUCAUUUGCAUUUCUCCAUAUUUUCUGGAGAUAGUAGUAGUGCUGUUGUCUUUGUGAUCAGUACACAGAAAAUCUGCACACUAUCCUUAGUGUGUUUUGUUUACCAGUACUGCCACUGAAAUUUUAAUUUAUUGUCAGAAGACAUUUUAAAUAUAAAAUCUUAUUUAGAGAUGGUGCUUAUGUUCAGCUGUGUUAAGAAAUGAGUUCUUACAUGGUAUGAAUAGUUGCAACUGACUUUUUUCAUUACUGAAUAAUUAUGAAAUGUCACUAAACAGAAUUAGCAUGCAUGACAGCUGUCCAUAUAACUUGAUUAAGUUCUGUGAAAUUCAAAAAUUUGAUGAAGUUAUUGUUCAAUAAAUCCAGUAUAAGUGACUC